rnacentral:rRNA from 1 species
UACGAGGGGUUCUAGCGUUGUUCGGAAUUACUGGGUGUAAAGGGUAUGUAGGUGGACCUUUAAGUUAGGUGUGAAAUCCUAUGGUUUAAUUGUGGAAUUGUAUUUGAAACUGGAGGUUUUGAGUGUGGGAGAGAUUGGUAGAAUAUUUGGUGUAGUGGUGAAAUAUGUAGAUAUCAGGUGGAAUAUUGGUGGUGAAGGUGGUUAAUUGGUCUAACACUGACGUUGAGAUAUGAAAGCGUGGGGAUCAAACAGG